AGUUACUCCAGCACUUUGUGAAAAGUCACCUACUUGUUCUCCACAGAUCAUCCCUGACCCUGCUGUGUUACUCCAGCACGUUGU